GUAGGUGGCAAGCGUUGUCCGGAAUUAUUGGGCGUAAAGCGCGCGCAGGCGGUUCUUUAAGUCUGAUGUGAAAGCCCACGGCUCAACCGUGGAGGGUCAUUGGAAACUGGAGAACUUGAGUACAGAAGAGGAAAGCGGAAUUCCACGUGUAGCGGUGAAAUGCGUAGAGAUGUGGAGGAACACCAGUGGCGAAGGCGGCUUUCUGGUCUGUAACUGACGCUGAGGCGCGAAAGCGUGGGGGGCAAACAGGGAUUAGAUACCCUGGUAGUCCACGCCGUAAACGAUGAGUGCUAAGUGUUAGGGGGUUUCCGCCCCCUUAGUGCUGCAGCUAACGCAUUAAGCACUCCGCCUGGGGAGUACGCCGCAAGGCUG
rnacentral:rRNA from 1 species